AAAGAGGCAGUGUUAAGGUCCCUAGGACACAGUAUCCAUGAGGAAGGGUCUGAGGUGGCUAUGGGAGGGAGCUGGAUCAGGGGUGCUCCCGUGUCACCUGAAGAUGAGCCCUACACUGGUGGAAAUAAUUAAUGGGCAGCCAGGAGUUGUGGGACUCAGGGAUAGUGUGUCAGAGCAAGGAGGCCAACAGGGAAACCCUUGAUGGAGGCACUUCCUUCCUCUCCACCUCUCCCCUAUCUUUCUGGUUGUCAGAAGUCCUCAAGGUCCUGGUGCUGAGUUACACACACAGUGCACCCUGCACCCUGCAUUCUGCACCCUGCAUCCUGUAUGCUCUACAGACCUCUCAGGGACAGAGAAUGAAUAUUUACUGAGCAGCUCAGUAUGCGGAAUUUGAAGGUGUCUUCUCAGAGACCAGUACUAGAGACCAGAGGCAAACAUCAGUCAUUACUGAUCUGUGAAUCCAUGGACAUACUUCUUCCCAAACAGAAGGCCCAACUAUUCCAGGAAAUGAUCAUGAAGGAGGAAGGAAGGGGAAUUAAAAUUGUUGAGCACUUAUUGAAAG